rnacentral:rRNA from 1 species
AUGGCGACUGGACAUGGUUGGAUGCAGCAGUGCGGAAGAAGCACAGAUGCAGCAGCGGGUGUUGGAGGUCAUGGGGGCGCGUCGCCGGCGACAUCUAGCUGUGUAGGGAAGAAGGUCAUGGUGGCAGUUGGAGGAAGCAGUAUGGAUCCUAUGAAUAACGUUCAAAUGCAUACGAGCCAGGGAGGAUUUAGUACGCCCAAAAAGAACACAGACAUACCUCUCUUUUCUUCGUUUUUUAUACCUGAAUGUGAUGAGCAUCUGAAGCCUAAAGUGGGUAUGACAUUUGAAGGACUCGAGGCCGUGGAGAAGUUCUACAAGGAAUAUGCGCAUCAAUCAGGUUUUGGUGUUCGCAUUGGACAACAAAAAAAGAAUGAGAAUAAGGUGGUCCGUACUAAGCGUUUCAUGUGUAAUAGGGAAGGAUUCAAGGCAAAAGAUAGUAAAGAGACUAAUGACCCCUUGAAGAAAAGGCGUAAGCAGACAGAUACGCGAUGCGGUUGUGAUGCCCAUAUCUUUGUUAGACUUUGUGGGGAGAACACCUACAAGAUAGACUCACUGAUUGAGCACCAUGUUCAUGGUCUUGUAUCGCCUAAUAAGUGUCAUUUGAUCAGAUCAAAUCGUAGAGUUAGUGAGAGGGCAAAAAAUACUUUAUACACAUGUCAUAAGGCAAGUAUUGGAACGUCGCAGGCAUACAGGCUCCUGCAAGUUAGUGAGGGUGGAAUUCUGAAUGCUGGGUGCACAAAGAGGGACUUGCAGAAUUACUACCGCGGACUCAGUUUACUGAUACAAGCACUUGCAUUAGUAAUGUGCAUGUCCCUCGACCGAGUACAACAACUCAGUAUUUGCACUAGUACAUCUGCUACAGCAUACACCCUACUUUCUGUAGUUAUCGUCUACAGCUUCCCUGAAGGAAUCAUAGCGGCCGGGGAAGGCCAUCCAGGGGAUAGCGUCUCAUCAAAGAUGCUUCGUCACCAGCGCGGAACAACGCCGGUUCGUGAUGACUUCGCUGUCGAGACGGCCGUCCGGGCCAUCGUCGACAUCGCUGGUGGCCGUGGGGUUUCCAUCGUCGUCGCCACUUGCUUCCAUCGCCAGAGGACUUCUAGGGAAUCGACCGGGCCGUGGUUGCCGGCUUGCCGCUGUAGGAGGCCUUCCGAUUGGAAUUUGAUUUUGGAGGAGAUGCGGCUGAUUGGGCAAAGAGGAUUUUGA